AAUGCGCCGAACGACUUUCGACUGAACAAGUCAGAGGACCCGACUGCCGAACCGUAAUCACGGUCGGUCGGAUCCCGGCUCAACGGGCGCCCGACCGAAGAUCUCGACCAUCAAAGUCCGAUCUGAAAUCGGGACUUACUCUACCUUCGUGGCUCCCGACUUAACAUACGCGUCCGAUGAUCAGCAUUGACUAUCAGAAGCCGAUCUAAAGGCGGGACCUACCUUACCUUCGGGUCGGCACAAGUUGCCAAACGUCCUAACCGACCUAUGGCAGUUAGCGACUUAUUUUAAGUUAGCGACUCACAUGGGCAUGCGACAUUACAGAUACAUUCGACGUUACAAACAAAAGGAGAGAGUGA
rnacentral:lncRNA from 1 species